GGCCCCGCAUAUCAUGCAGUCGAGCGCAGUUCGGAGCUUGCUUUUUUGUUAACGGCGGACGGGUGAGUACACGUGGGAACCUGCCUGUAAGACUGGGAUAACUUCCGGAAACCGGAGCUAAUACCGGAUAAUCCUUUCCUACUCAUGUAGGAAACCUGAAAGACGGUUUACUCUGUCCCUUACAUAUGGGCCCGCGGCGCAUUAGCUAGUUGGGGAGGUAACGGCUCACCAAGGCAACUAUGCGUAGCCGACCUGAAAGGGUGAUCGGCCACACUGGGACUGAAACACCGCCCAGACUCCUACGGGAGGCAACUUUGGGGAAUCUUCCACAAUGGACGAAAGUCUGACCGAGCGACGCCGCGUGAGUGAUGAAGGUUUUCGGAUCGUAAAACUCUGUUGUUAGGGAAGAACAAGUACGAGAGUAACUGCUCGUACCUUGACGGUACCUAACCAGAAAGCCACGGCUAACUACGUGCCAGCAGCCGCGGUAAUACGUAGGUGGCAAGCGUUGUCCGGAAUUAUUGGGCGUAAAGCGCGCGCAGGCGGUCCUUUAAGUCUGAUGUGAAUCCCACAGCUCAACCGUGGAGGGUCAUUGGAAACUGGGGGACUUGAGUGCACAAAAGAAAGUGGAAUUCCACGUGUAGCGGUGAAAUGCGUAGAGAUGUGGAGGAACACCAAUGGCGAAGGCGACUCUUUGGUCUGUAACUGACGCUGAUGCGCGAAAGCGUGGGGAGCAAACAGGAUUAGAUACCCUGGUAGUCCACGCCGUAAACGAUGAGUGCUAAGUGUUGGAGGCUUUCCGCCCUUUAAUGCUGCAUCAAACGCAUUAAUCACUCCGCCUGGGGAGUACGGCCGCAAGGCUGAAACUCAAAGGAUUUGACGGACGCCCGCACAAGCGGUGGAACAUGUGUUUUAUUUCUAAGCAACGCGAAAAACCUUACCCCGUCUUGACGUCUCCUGACAAUCCUAGAUAUAGGACGUUCCCCUUCAGAGGACAGGAUGACAGGUGGUGCGUGUGUGUCCUCCUCUCGUGUCG
rnacentral:rRNA from 1 species